GGGUGAGUAACACGUGGAUAACCUACCUAUAAGACUGGGAUAACUUCGGGAAACCGGAGCUAAUACCGGAUAAUAUAUUGAACCGCAUGGUUCAAUAGUGAAAGACGGUUUUGCUGUCACUUAUAGAUGGAUCCGCGCCGCAUUAGCUAGUUGGUAAGGUAACGGCUUACCAAGGCGGCGAUGCGUAGCCGACCUGAGAGGGUGAUCGGCCACACUGGAACUGAGACACGGUCCAG
rnacentral:rRNA from 1 species